CGCGCAGGCGGUCGUUUAAGUCGAAUGUGAAAGCCCCCGGCUCAACUGGGGAGGGUCAUUCGAUACUGAUCGACUUGAAGGCAGGAGAGGGAAGUGGAAUUCCGGGUGUAGUGGUGAAAUGCGUAGAUAUCCGGAGGAACACCAGUGGCGAAGGCGACUUCCUGGCCUGUUCUUGACGCUGAGGCGCGAAAGCUGGGGGAGCAAACG
rnacentral:rRNA from 1 species